GCUGACACACACACGCACACACCCUCCCACUUUACGCCAACUGCCUAUGAUGUCAUCCGUUGGAGCAUGAAUGAAGCACCAGGUCUGAAGAAUGUCACCCGAGUUGGUAAAAUGGGACAAACAGCACCAUCUAGAGGACAGUACUGGUAGUGCUGGCGACCGCACCUGGGUUACUACGGACACCAAGAAGUUAAAAAAAAAAAAACUAAUAAAAAUGUAAAUUAACCGUACAUCAGUGUUAGCAGUACUAAGCAAAGCCACAUUUCUCUUUCGGAAUAAAUAGAUAAAUACUCA